rnacentral:lncRNA from 1 species
CCUCUGCAAAAUUUCUUCAAAUUACCUCUACAAUUGAGGAGUUUAGUGAUCUCAAUUCGAAAACUGUCGAUGAGAUCAUUGGAUCCCUCAAAGCACAUGAAGAAAGGUUGCAAGGUUUUGGAGAUAAGGAUGAGACUGUUCUUUUCACUCGUGCAGAAUGGAAGGCACGAGAGAACUCAAAUUCCUCGAAGAAAGAAGUGAGGGAUCAAGGCAAUUCGCGAGGUGGCAGGGGUAGGGGUCGUGGAAGAGGAAGAGGCCGAG